AGAUUGAACGCUGGCGGCAUGCCUUACACAUGCAAGUCGAACGGCAGCGCGGGGCAACCUGGCGGCGAGUGGCGAACGGGUGAGUAAUAUAUCGGAACGUACCCUGGAGUGGGGGAUAACGUAGCGAAAGUUACGCUAAUACCGCAUACGAUCUAAGGAUGAAAGUGGGGGAUCGCAAGACCUCAUGCUCCUGGAGCGGCCGAUAUCUGAUUAGCUAGUUGGUGGGGUAAAGGCCUACCAAGGCAUCGAUCAGUAGCUGGUCUGAGAGGACGACCAGCCACACUGGAACUGAGACACGGUCCAGACUCCUACGGGAGGCAGCAGUGGGGAAUUUUGGACAAUGGGCGAAAGCCUGAUCCAGCAAUGCCGCGUGAGUGAAGAAGGCCUGGUGUAAGCUCUUUGUCUAGGAAGAAACGGUGAGGCUAAUAUCUCUUGCUAAUGAACGGUACCGUAGAAGAAUAAGACACCGGACUAACUACGU
rnacentral:rRNA from 1 species